GGGGCCGCUUCCGGCUGAGGGCCUGCAUCCGGGCGGCGCCGGGCUGCGGUGAGGCGGAGAGCGGCGUGCGGUGAGCGCGGACGCAAUCUUCCACUUGGAAAGGGCCUCCCAAGGAUCCCUGGUAUCCUCUGAGAGCUCUGAGCUGCCGCACCAAUUUGAAGCUGACUUCAUUUUUGGUCUUCCCCUUCAGCAGAAAAGCUCAGACAGCCGAGCCAAGCGAGACGCUGGAUUUCCUUUGGCAUCAAGGAAAGCAUCGUGAGAUGUUCU